rnacentral:piRNA from 1 species
UGGUGUAUGUGGUCCUGUAAUGAGGGACAAU